rnacentral:rRNA from 1 species
CCCUUAGAUGUUCUGGGCUGCACGCGCACUACACUGAUGCGAUCAACAAGUUUUUCCUAUGUCGAUAGACACGGGUAAUCUUUUGAACUCGCAUCGUGAUGGGGAUAGAUUAUUGUAAUUAUUAAUCUUCAACGAGGAAUUCCUAGUAGGUGCAAAUCAUCAGUUUGCAUCGAUUACGUCCCUGCCCUUUGUACACACCGCCCGUCGCUGCUACCGAUUGGUUGAUCUGGUGAAUUAUUCGGACUGCCGGCUGAAGGGGUUUCCUCAUCUGCCAGCGGAAAGUCUUGUUAACCCUAUCAACUAGAGGAAGCAGAAGUCGUAACA